rnacentral:rRNA from 1 species
UGGGGAAUCUUCCGCAAUGGACGAAAGUCUGACGGAGCAACGCCGCGUGAGUGAAGAAGGUUUUCGGAUCGUAAAACUCUGUCUUUUGGGGCGAACGUGAGUAUGGUGAACAAUCAUAGUCAGUGACGGUACCAAAGGAGGAAGCCACGGCUAACUACGUGCCAGCAGCCGCGGUAAUACGUAGGUGGCAAGCGUUGUCCGGAAUUAUUGGGCGUAAAGAGCGCGUAGGCGGGAUAGUCAGUCUGUUGUAAAGUGCGGGGCUCAACCCCGUGAUCGCAAUGGAAACAGCUAUUCUUGAGUGCAGGAGAGGAAAGUGGAAUUCCCAGUGUAGCGGUGAAAUGCGUAGAUAUUGGGAGGAACACCAGUGGCGAAGGCGACUUUCUGGACUGUGUCUGACGCUGAGGCGCGAAAGCCAGGGGGAGGCGAACGGGAUUUAGAUACCCCGGUAGUCCUGGCCGUAAACGAUGGGUACUAGGUGUGGGAGGUAUCGACCCCCUUUCCGUGCCGGAGUUAACGCAAUAAGUACCCCC